CUGCACUGAUGAGCGUUUGUAGGAUCUGAUCUGGUAUUGCUUCCCUCCGGGGAGAGCUCUGACCAGGAAAUGAUCCCGGUUCAAUCUUCUCUCUGAGCGG
ensembl:snoRNA